AAAUUGUUACUGGGGUGCUAUCCGGCUGAGAAUAUACCCAAGGAACCUGAUGCAGAUAAUGCUGCCGUAGGGAGACGCGUUUUGAAUCGA
rnacentral:ncRNA from 2 species